rnacentral:rRNA from 1 species
AGUGAACGCUGGCGGUAGGCCUAACACAUGCAAGUCGAACGGCAGCACAGUAAGAGCUUGCUCUUACGGGUGGCGAGUGGCGGACGGGUGAGGAAUACAUCGGAAUCUACUUUUUCGUGGGGGAUAACGUAGGGAAACUUACGCUAAUACCGCAUACGACCUACGGGUGAAAGCAGGGGAUCUUCGGACCUUGCGCGAUUGAAUGAGCCGAUGUCGGAUUAGCUAGUUGGCGGGGUAAAGGCCCACCAAGGCGACGAUCCGUAGCUGGUCUGAGAGGAUGAUCAGCCACACUGGAACUGAGACACGGUCCAGACUCCUACGGGAGGCAGCAGUGGGGGAUAUUGGACAAUGGGCGCAAGCCUGAUCCAGCCAUACCGCGUGGGUGAAGAAGGCCUUCGGGUUGUAAAGCCCUUUUGUUGGGAAAGAAAAGCAGCAGGUUAAUACCCCGCUGUCCUGACGGUACCCAAAGAAUAAGCACCGGCUAACUUCGUG